UUCACCACACUAAAGAGAUUCUUCCUCAUCUCCAUUCUGAUGGUACAUUGUUUUAUUCUGGGACUAUGGCCUCUCUUC